rnacentral:rRNA from 1 species
AGAGCGAACGCUGGCGGCAGGCCUAACACAUGCAAGUCGAGCGGCCGUAGCAAUACGGCAGCGGCAGACGGGAUAGUAACACGUGGGAACGCGCCCUUCGGUUCGGAAUAACUCAGGGAAACUUGAGCUAAUACCGGAUACGCCCUUACGGGGAAAGAUUUAUUGCCGAAGGAACGGCCCGCGUCCGAUUAGCUAGUUGGUGAGGUAAUGGCUCACCAAGGCGACGAUCGGUAGCUGGUCUGAGAGGAUGACCAGCAUCACUGGGACUGAGACACGGCCCAGACUCCUACGGGAGGCAGCAGUGGGGAAUAUUGGACAAUGGGCGCAAGCCUGAUCCAGCCAUGCCGCGUGGAUGAUGAAGGCCCGUAGGUUAGUAAAGUUCCGUUUAACGGGAAGAAUAAUGACGGUAACCCGUAGAAUAAGCCCGGACUAACUUCGUGCCAGCAGCCGC